rnacentral:lncRNA from 1 species
GUGUCACACUCUAGCAGCACAGUCCAUCCAGUAGGUAGUAGUAGUGUCACACUCUAGCAGCACAGUCCAUCCAGUAGGUAGUAGUAGUAGUGUAUCACUCUAGCAGCACAGUCCAUCCAGUAGGUACUAGUAGUGUAUCACUCUAGCAGCACAGUCCAUCCAGUAGGUAGUAGUAUUAGUAGUGUAUCACUCUAGCAGCACAGUCCAUCCAGUAGGUAGUAGUAGUGUCACACUCUAGCAGCACAGUCCAUCCAGUAGGUAGUAGUAGUGUAUCACUCUAGCAGCACAGUCCAUCCAGUAGGUAGUAGUAGUGUAUCACUCUAGCAGCACAGUCCAUCCAGUAGGUAGUAGUAGUGUGUCACACUCUAGCAGCACAGUCCAUCCAGUAGGAUGUAGUAGUGUGUCACACUCUAGCAGCACAGUCCAUCCAGUUGGUAGUAGUAGUGUGUCACACUCUAGCAGCACAGUCCAUCCAGUAGUAUGUAGUAGUGUGUCACACUCUAGCAGCACAGUCCAUCCAGUAGGUAGUAGUAGUAGUGUC